rnacentral:SRP_RNA from 1 species
GCCGGGCGUGGUGGUGCACGCCUGUAGUCCCAGCUACUUAGGGGGCUGAGGUGGGAGGAUUGCUUGAGCCCAGGCUGUAGGGAGCUGUGUUUGCGUCACUGCACUCCAGUCUGGGUGACAGAGCGAGACUCCAUCUCUU